rnacentral:rRNA from 1 species
ACGCUCGACACCUACGGGCAGCAGUGGGGAAUAUUGCACAAUGGGGGAAACCCUGAUGCAGCAACGCCGCGUGAAGGAAGAAGGUUUUCGGAUCGUAAACUUCUAUCAAUAGGGAAGAAAGAAAUGACGGUACCUAAAUAAGAAGCCCCGGCUAACUACGUGCCAGCAGCCGCGGUAAUCUGAGCGGGCUGGCAAGGC